rnacentral:rRNA from 1 species
CCUACGGGUGGCAGCAGUGAGGAAUAUUGGUCAAUGGGCGCGAGUCUGAACCAGCCAAGUAGCGUGAAGGAUGACUGCCCUAUGGGUUGUAAACUUCUUUUAUAAAGGAAUAAAGUGCGGCACGUGUGCCCUUUUGCAUGUACCUUAUGAAUAAGGAUCGGCUAACUCCGUGCCAGCAGCCGCGGUAAUACGGAGGAUCCGAGCGUUAUCCGGAUUUAUUGGGUUUAAAGGGAGCGUAGUUGGGUUGUUAAGUCAGUUGUGAAAGUUUGCGGCUCAACCGUAGAAUUGCAUUUGAUACUGGCAGUCUUGAGUACAGUUGAGGUAGGCGGAAUGCGUGGUGUAGCGGUGAAAUGCUUAGAUAUCACGAAGAACUCCGAUUGCGAAGGCAGCUUACUAGACUGCAACUGACGUUGAUGCUCGAAAGUGUGGGUAUCAAACAGGAUUAGAUACCCGUGUAGUC